UACAGAGGGUGCAAGCGUUAAUCAGAAUGACUGGGCGUAAAGGGCGUGUAGGUGGUUGACUAGGUUUGAUGUGAAAUCCCCGGGCUUAACCUGGGAAUUGCGUCGAAAACGGGUCGACUGGAGUGAGAUAGAGGGUUGUGGAAUUUCCGGUGUAGCGGUGAAAUGCGUAGAUAUCGGAAAGAACAUCAGUGGCGAAGGCGACAACCUGGAUCUUAACUGACACUGAGGCGCGAAGGCGUGGGGAGCAAACAGGAUUAGAUACCCUGGUAGUCCACGCAGUAAACGAUGAGAACUGGCUGUGAUGUGUAGGGAGCAAUCUCUGCAUGACGUAGCGAAGCUAACGCGUUAAGUUCUCCGCCUGGGGAGUACGGCCGCAAGGUUAAA
rnacentral:rRNA from 1 species